CCUGGCUGAGGUUCUUUUUCUGUGGACAACCUUUUAAGCAGCCAAGAUUAACCAUUCAGAGGGAAUAAUUUUUGCUCAUUAUUGUGGAUUUUUACUCCUGUGACAAAGGAUUCCUGUGUUGUCGGUUUUGGAGGAUGCCAUGAAAUUGUACCCGUUGUAAGGAAAUCGCGACCAGGCCAGAUAUCCCUCUCAUGCAACAAUCUGGAUCUAUGUAAAGGAGUGUGAGCUGGAGGGGGAGCUGUCACCUGCAUGGGUGAAAAAGAAGUGGGAGAACCAUGAGCAAAAAUACACGCCUGAAUUUAAAAUGGAUUACAUCGAGAUGUUGUGUCACUGACCUACACACAAUACUCCAUAAUGUCAAAGUGGAUUUUUUACAAAUUAAUACAUUUGUACAACUUUAAUAAAAAGUGAAUAGCUGAAA